rnacentral:snoRNA from 1 species
UCCUAUGAUGAACCUGGCUUAGGAAGUGCCGUCAGAUACAUAUAUGAUGAUCGCUAUUAGCUGAUG